CCUACGGGUGGCAGCAGUGGGGAAUAUUGCGCAAUGGGCGAAAGCCUGACGCAGCGACGCCGCGUGAGGGAUGAAGGUCUACGGAUCGUAAACCUCUGUCAGCAGGGAAGAACGGUCACUGUGCUAAUCAGCAGUGAAUUGACGGUACCUGCAAAGGAAGCACCGGCUAACUCCGUGCCAGCAGCCGCGGUAAUACGGAGGGUGCGAGCGUUAAUCGGAAUUACUGGGCGUAAAGCGCUCGUAGGCGGUAUGUCAAGUCAAGGGGGAAAUCCCCGCGCUCAACGUGGGAACUGCCUUUGAAACUGGCAAACUGGAGUGUGUGAGAGGUUAGUGGAAUUCCAGGUGUAGGAGUGAAAUCCGUAGAUAUCUGGAGGAACAUCAGUGGCGAAGGCGACUAUCUGGCACAUAACUGACGCUGAGGAGCGAAAGCGUGGGUAGCAAACAGGAUUAGAUACCCCAGUAGUC
rnacentral:rRNA from 1 species